CUACGGGCGGCUGCAGUAGGGAAUAUUGCGCAAUGGAGGAAACUCUGACGCAGCAAUACCGUGUGGGGGAGGAAGGUUUUCGGAUUGUAAACCCCUGUCAGAAGGAAAAAACGAUUUAUAGGUUAAUACCUUAUAUUUUUGAUGGUACCUUCAAAGGAAGCACCGGCUAACUCCGUGCCAGCAGCCGCGGUAAUACGGAGGGUGCAAGCGUUGUUCGGAUUUAUUGGGCGUAAAGCGCGCGCAGGCGGAAUGGUAAGUCAGGUGUGAAAUCUCGGAGCUCAACUCCGAAAUUGCGCCUGAAACUAUUAUUCUAGAAUUCUGGAGAGGGAUGGGGAAUUUCUCAUGUAGGGGUAAAAUCCGUAGAGAUGAGAAGGAACACCCGCUGCGAAGGCGCCAUCCUGGACAGAUAUUGACGCUGAGGCGCGAAAGCGUGGGGAGCAAACAGGAUUAGAUACCCCGGUAGUC
rnacentral:rRNA from 1 species